GAAACCCCUGGCAGGGAGACACACUGUCUCAGUUGGACGGUGCGAUCCAGCAGUCCAUGAUAGGUCAGCGGCUGUGGGCCUGGCCCCUGAACGGGAACGACUGGAGAGCAUAGGAUUGCCUUCAGCGGUGGUGCGCACUAUUCAGUACGCCAGAGCUCAGUCAACAACGAUGUCUUACAGUGCAAAGUGGUCAGCAUUUCUGCGAUGGUGCAUGGAGAAAGGCACAGCUCCCACCUCCUGCCCGGUGGCUGAAGGGCUGACGUUUCUACAGAUGUUACAUCCGUGGUUCACGCCGUUCCCAGCACCUCGUCAGCUGGCACUGGGGGUACCGCGGACUCCGCCCCUACACAAGUAGAUGCACAAUCUCGGCGACGAGGCACACCUGUACCAAUCAUCGGAGCAGUGCUUAGGCACGGCAUUGGUGUGUCCUCAUCGCCAGACAAUACUCUCGUCUUGCUACCAGCAUCUUUGCAAAAUCUACGCUCCCGAUCUCUUCAACCGCAUGUGCUGAACCACUCCACAGAACUUUUUCCUUUCGACCUGAUUCACGGCACACAACGUUGAUCCUGUUCUGUGUUUCACUGUAAUGGCUCUUCAGAACCUGCUGAAUACAAAGCCAGAGACCCCGCCUCUGACCCACUAUGCCUCUGCUGUGAUGCUGUUCUCACACCAAACUUUGACCAUGCAACUGAAAGCAGUGGUUCAGGAGCCACAUGAAAA